rnacentral:lncRNA from 1 species
CUAUAAGUUUUCUGAGAGUGUCUCAUCUAAAACUCCUUCUCCUACUUCUCAUCUUUAGAAGAGUUCAAAUCAAGAAUAAGGAGGUAUCUAAUCAACCAUCGAAGAAGGAUUAGCACAAUACUAGCAUACUGUGCUGAUUUUUUGGACCAGGACUUCUGAUCGUGAUUCGUGGGCUCGUGUGGAUGACUCUUAGAGGCCGGACGCGUGUGUGGC